rnacentral:rRNA from 1 species
UACGUAGGUGGCAAGCGUUGUCCGGAUUUAUUGGGUUUAAAGGGUGCGUAGGCGGUUUUGUAAGUCAGUGGUGAAAUACUCCAGCUUAACUGGAGGGGUGCCAAUGAUACUGCAGAACUUGAGUACAGAUGAGGUAGGCGGAAUUGACGGUGUAGCGGUGAAAUGCAUAGAUAUCGUCAAGAACACCGAUAGCGAAGGCAGCUUACUGGGCUGUAACUGACGCUGAGGCACGAAAGCGUGGGGAUCAAACAGG